AAAAAGACGUUCUUACGCCUGUCAGUGGAUGGCUCGGUUCGGGUGCCGACGAAGGGCGUGCCAAGCUGCGAUAAGCUCCGGGUAGACGCAUGGAGUCAUUGAACCGGAGAUCCCCGAAUAGGACAUCCAGAUGCAUAAAGCAUCAUUCCGCCAUCGGAAAGGGAACGCCCCGAAUUGAAACAUCUUAGUAGGGGCAGGAGAAGAAACCAACCGGGAUGUCGUUAGUAGAGGCGAUCGAACACGACAGAGUUCAAACCGAAUCCUUCGGGAGAUGUGGUGUAUGGACCGCGGCAUAAGAUUUGCAUUCAGAACUGAAGUUGCCUGGAACGGUAUACCAGAGAGGGUGACAGUCCCGUAUGUGUAUGCAUGCAGACUUUAGCGGUAUCCUGAGUAGCGUGGGUCGGAAUUCCCGCGUGAAUGUGGGGGUCAUCAACCUCCAAAACUAAAUACUCCCCGAAACCGAUAGCGUAGUAGUAGCGUGAGCGAAAGCUGAAAAGCAACCCUGGAAAGGUGUUGAAAAGUGCCUGAAACUGACAGGUUAUCGCGUGAUACGGCACGAAAGGAUCUUCAAAGCGAAGGAACGAGUUGCGAGACUCAAGUACGGGUUUUGUUGCCGGUGUCGUAUCGUACGUUUUGAAGAACGGGCCAGAGAGUUUAUUCUGUUGGCGACGGUUAAUUUCUAUGAAAGAAGCCAGAGGGAAACCAACAAGUCCGCAGCCGUAAGGUCAGGGACGACGUACUACCAGUGCGUGGAGUCAGCAGGAUAAGACCCGAAGCCCGGCGAUCUAUGCGUGGGCAGGUUGAAGCGUGCCGAAAGGUGCGUGGAGGACCGCAAGCGGUUUUGAUAUGCAAAUCAUUCGCGUGACCUGCGUAUAGGAGUGAAAGAUUAAUCGAGCCGGGCAUCAGCUGGUUCCUCUCGAAACAUGCCGUAGCAUGACCUGAUCUGAGAUCGACAGUGAGGUAGAGCACUGAUUGGGGAAGCUGGGGAAGAAAUUCCUCACUCUCCUGUCAAACUCCAAAUUCCCUGUCAUCAGCGACGAUCGGAAGUCCGCAUUACGGGGUAAGCUUGUAAUGCGUAAGGGAGACAACCCAGACCGUGGUUAAUGUCCCUCAGUGCAGGCUCAGUGUAAACACUGAAAGUAGUCCUGGGUCAAAGACAACUGGGAGGUGAGCUUAGAAGCAGCUACCCUUUAAAAAGUGCGUAACAGCUUACCAGUCAAGAUUCAGGGCGCUGAAAAUGGACGGGGCUUAAGCCUGCCACAGAUACCACGGACCAUACGAAUUGUAUGAUGGCGUAGAGAGGCGUCCUGCAUGGGCGGAAGCAGGGUUGCAAGAUCCUGUGGACCGUGUAGGAAUGAAAAUUCUGGCAGUAGUAGAAGCUUAAGAUUGGUGAGAAUCCAAUCCGCCGCAGGGGCUAGGUUUCCUCGACAAUGUUCGUCAGUCGAGGGUUAGUCGGUCCUAAGACGUACCGUAAUUCGAGUACGCCGAAAGGGAAACAGGUUAAUAUUCCUGUACCUGUAUCAAACAAUCCUGACGCUUUCGGAUAGGCAUUGCGGAGUCAUCGCUCCGUCUAAGCCGGAUAUGAAAUUGGAGUACCGUAAUGGUGAGAAUUUUUCAAAACGGUGAUGGGGUAACAAUGCUGAUUCCAGGAGCCCGUGAAAAGGGUGAUACGGUCCGUACCGAGAACUGACACAGGUGCCCCUCGCUGAGAAGGCGAAGGCGUGUCGGGAGUAAAUGUGUUAAGGGAACUCGGCAAAUUAGCCCUGUAACUUUGGGAUAAGGGGUGCCUGCCCAGCGAUUGGGCAGGUCGCAGUGACAAGAUCGCUCCGACUGUCUAAUAACAACAUAGCAGACUGCAACUCCGAAAGGACUCGUAUAGUCUGUGAUUCCUGCCCAGUGCGAGUAUCUGAACACCGGGUUCAACCGGACGAAGGACUCGUAAACGGCGGGGGUAACUAUGACCCUCUUAAGGUAGCGUAGUACCUUGUCGCUUAAUUGGCGACUUGCAUGAAUGGAAUAACGAGAGCGAUACUGUCCCUAACACAUACCCGUUGAACCUUUUGUACUAGUGCAGAGACUAGUGACUCCUUAUGGGAAGUGAAGACCCCGUGGAGCUUUACUGCAGCCUGUCGUUGGGUUACGGUAUUACCUGCGCAGGGUAGAUGGGAGACGUCGAUCCAACCCUUGUGGGGGUUGGUUAGUCACCGAUGAGACACCAUCCUGGUUUUAUUGUAAUUCUAACUGAUUUAUCAGGACAUCGAUAGGUAGGCAGUUUGGGUGGGGCGCCACACCCUCGAAAAAAUAUCAAGGGUGCCCUAAGGUCAACUCAAGCGGGUCAGAAACCCGCUGAAGAGUGUCAAGAGCAAAAGUUGGCCUGACGCGAUUUCGCAUAGCAAGAAAUCGCGAGAGGAAACUCGGGUCUAACGAACCAAUACGCCCUGUUGAUGAGGGCUAUUGACUACAGAAAAGCUACCCCGGGGAUAACAGAGUCGUCGCCGGCAAGAGCACAUAUCGACCCGGCGGCUUGCUACCUCGAUGUCGGUUCUUUCCAUCCUGGCUGUGCAGCAGCAGCCAAGGGUGAGGUUGUUCGCCUAUUAAAGGGGAUCGUGAGCUGGGUUUAGACCGUCGUGAGACAGGUCGGUUACUAUCUAUAAGGAGUGUUGGAAGUCUGAAGGCAAGAAUGAAAUAGUACGAGAGGAACUUUCAUUCGGCGCCACUGGUCUACCGGUUGUCUGACAAGGCAACGCCGGGCAGCUACGCGCCAAGAGAUAAAAGCUGAAAGCAUCUAAGCUUGAAACUCAGCCUGAACAAGAGACUUCAUGAAAGACACGGGUAAAAGACCCGGUUGAUAGGUUCGGGAUGUACGCACGAAGGCAACGACGUGUUCAGUCCGCGAAUACUAAUCGUCUUAAUAACGUCAAUUC
rfam:Methanospirillum hungatei JF-1, complete genome.